GGAGAGGCCGAAGAUGAACAAGGAGAGGAAGAAGAAGGGGACGCAGAGGAGGAAGAAUCAUAGACAUCAGCACUGUCAAUUUAAUAAUAAUCAGACUGUUUAACUGAUCGGCUUUCUGCCACCCCACUGCGAUUUGUCCCCAAGAAGUCUACUUGUGAAAUCUGCAAGCUGGCGCUAUAUAAAAAAGACCAACAAAGUUCUCCGCAAAAAAAA